UAUUAUUUUAUAAAUAAUAUUUUAUUAUGCAUUAUUUAAUUAACAAAAAAAAAUAAAAUAAAAUGGCAGUAUUUUAUAAUUUUAGAGGAUUUUGUUAUUUAAUAGAUAAUACACUAUAAAAUUUAUUUAAUUUUAUAUAUUGUAUAUUGUUGUAAUAAACUAAUAUAAUAAUUAUUUUAUUAGUAAUAAUAUUUUAUAUUUAUUUAAUUCAAAUAAAUAUGCUUAUUAUAAUUAAGGUUUAAAUGAAAUACAAUUAAUAUAUUUAUUGGAUUAUUAAUUGUAAAAUUAAUAUUAAAUUGGAUUUAAUAGUAAAUAUAAAUAAAUAUUAAAUUUGAAUAUUUUAUAAAAUAUGUACAUAUUGCCCGUCGUUUUUAAUUAAUAUUAGAAUAA
rnacentral:rRNA from 1 species